UUGGCGCCCGGUGCCUGGGCAUCGGCCUUCAAAUCCGGCGCCGCCGA
rnacentral:tRNA from 8 species